rnacentral:rRNA from 1 species
GAGGUGUAACACACGUUCCCUUCCCGAACACGCUCGUUAAGCCCUCAACCGCCGAUGGUAGUGCAGCCACGCUGCUGUGUGAGAGUAGGUCGUCGCCAGUC